ensembl:lncRNA novel transcript
CAGCAUAAGCUGGGACAGCUUGCAGGCUGAGGCCUGAAGUCAUGUGAAGGCUCUCUCUCACGCAUCUGGUGGUUGAUGCUGGCUGAUGGCUGAGAUUCAAGCUGGCGUGCCUGCCAGAGCACUCACAGAUGCUUCUCCAUGUCACCUGGGCUUCCUUCCAACAUGGUGGCUGGUGUUCCAUAGGUGAUCACUGCGGAGUGCCAGAGCCCCACCAAAGCAAUCAGUACUAAGGGGUCUCUCCUUUCCUAUGGACAGGAGGGGAGGGCUUUGAGUCUCUAGCAGUCCCCUGACAUAUAAUAGAUGCAUCCUGAUACCUCCACAGUUAUUCCGAAAGUGUGGGGUUUGGAGAUAGCCCAAAUUGGGUUCAAAUCCCCUUCUGCUGCUGUGUGCCUUUGGGAAAGCUACUUGACUACCCUGAGCCUAUUUCCUUAGCCUAUAAAAUGUGGAAGAUACAGAA